rnacentral:rRNA from 1 species
GUCGAGCGGACAGAUGGGAGCUUGCUCCCUGAUGUUAGCGGCGGACGGGUGAGUAACACGUGGGUAACCUGCCUGUAAGACUGGGAUAACUCCGGGAAACCGGGGCUAAUACCGGAUGCUUGUUUGAACCGCAUGGUUCAAACAUAAAAGGUGGCUUCGGCUACCACUUACAGAUGGACCCGCGGCGCAUUAGCUAGUUGGUGAGGUAAUGGCUCACCAAGGCAACGAUGCGUAGCCGACCUGAGAGGGUGAUCGGCCACACUGGGACUGAGACACGGCCCAGACUCCUACGGGAGGCAGCAGUAGGGAAUCUUCCGCAAUGGACGAAAGUCUGACGGAGCAACGCCGCGUGAGUGAUGAAGGUUUUCGGAUCGUAAAGCUCUGUUGUUAGGGAAGAACAAGUACCGUUCGAAUAGGGCGGUACCUUGACGGUACCUAACCAGAAAGCCACGGCUAACUACGUGCCAGCAGCCGCGGUAAUACGUAGGUGGCAAGCGUUGUCCGGAAUUAUUGGGCGUAAAGGGCUCGCAGGCGGUUCCUUAAGUCUGAUGUGAAAGCCCCCGGCUCAACCGGGGAGGGUCAUUGGAAACUGGGGAACUUGAGUGCAGAAGAGGAGAGUGGAAUUCCACGUGUAGCGGUGAAAUGCGUAGAGAUGUGGAGGAACACCAGUGGCGAAGGCGACUCUCUGGUCUGUAACUGACGCUGAGGAGCGAAAGCGUGGGGAGCGAACAGGAUUAGAUACC